UCGGAUUCGGUCCAGUGGAAGAUCCGGAAAGAGUAAUUGGAGCGGAGGUUGGUGAUGGGCAAGGAAAUGGAACCCGACCCGGAUUGCCAUGAAGGAGAGGAAGAAAGGAACUUGUAGCCAAUGAAGUGGUCGUGAGGUGAGUCAGGAGGUGAAUAGAGCCCGAGCCAGUCGAGUUUGGAAGGUGAAUCAACGUUGGACCAGGAAAUGGUUACUGUGUCACCGGAUUUCUGGAGGGUUGUUGGAGUCACGGAGAUGGUGACUUUGGAGAGGGAAGUUUGAGUGAUGAGGGAGAGGAGGAGGAGGAGGAGGAAGAUAGGGAGCUUCAUCUUU
rnacentral:lncRNA from 1 species